rnacentral:rRNA from 1 species
AGAUUGAACGCUGGCGGCAUGCCUUACACAUGCAAGUCGAACGGUAACAGGUUAAGCUGACGAGUGGCGAACGGGUGAGUAAUAUAUCGGAACGUGCCCAGUAGUGGGGGAUAGCCCGGCGAAAGCCGGAUUAAUACCGCAUACGACCUACGGGUGAAAGCGGGGGAUCGCAAGACCUCGCGCUAUUGGAGCGGCCGAUAUCAGAUUAGCUAGUUGGUGGGGUAAAAGCUCACCAAGGCGACGAUCUGUAGCUGGUCUGAGAGGACGACCAGCCACACUGGGACUGAGACACGGCCCAGACUCCUACGGGAGGCAGCAGUGGGGGAAUUUUGGACAAUGGACGCAAGUCUGAUCCAGCCAUGCCGCGUGCGGGAAGAAGGCCUUCGGGUUGUAACCGCUUUUGUCAGGGAGAAAGCUCCGAACUAAUAUUUUGGGUGAUGACGGUACCUGAAGAAUAAGCACCGGCUAACUACGCGCCAGCAGCCGCGGUAA